CCCGCUUCACGUUUUCCUCUGUCGCCCAACCCCUCGCUCUGUACACUGAAUCUCAGUGGUCUCAUUUUCCCCCACGGCUUCAGCUUUACACCAACUAAAUACCCAGAUCCACAUCUUCAGCGCAGCCCUUCCCUGGAGCUCCACGCUUGCCCAUCCAGCGGCCAUUGGGACAGCUCUGCUUCACAUGGAGCUCACUGGGUCCAAACUGGAACUGGUCUUUUCCUUGCGGAUUAAUUCUUCCUCUACCCCAACCCAGCCGGAAGUCUGGGUUCCUGAGAGCCCGAUGCUGGCACAGGAUGGUAAGGGAUUGGGUAAGUCCAUUCACCUCUCUGGGCCUUGGUUGUCGUAUCUGUAAAAGAAGAGGAACCGUACCUGCCCUGAGUGGACGUGAACGUGGGUGUGGAUCUGUGGGCAUGGGGUGGGGGGCGGUAGAGCACUGGGCUGGCCUCCAGAGUGGCUGCUUCCUACUCUCUUUAGGGUUUGCCCUGUUCCUGUCUGUUGUGUAGCAUGGAGCUGAGGGCCAGGAGACCUACUGAGCAUUCAUUUAUUCAACAAUCAAUUACAAAGCACCUAUGGCAUGGCA
rnacentral:lncRNA from 1 species